AGUUAAUUAGCUUAAGAAAAGCGUGUAUUUUGAAAAUACAAAAAAAAGGUUUAAUUCCUUUAUUAACUU
rnacentral:tRNA from 1 species